UCAAAUGAGAGUUUGAUCCUGGCUCAGAACGAACGCUGGCGGCGUGCCUAACACAUGCAAGUCGAACGGAGUUAAUCAGCAGCACUAAGCGUAGAGGUAAUGUAGGGGCGUGAAAUA
rnacentral:rRNA from 1 species